rnacentral:rRNA from 2 species
CGGCGAGUGAAGCGGCAAUAGCUCAAAUUUGAAAGCUGGCCCCUUCGGGGUCCGCGUUGUAAUUUGUAGAGGAUGAUUCGGCGAGGGCUCCCGUCUAAGUCCCUUGGAACAGGGCGUCAUAGAGGGUGAGAAUCCCGUAUGUGAUGGGCUGCCUUAGCCAUGUGAAUCUCCUUCGACGAGUCGAGUUGUUUGGGAAUGCAGCUCUAAAUGGGAGGUAAAUUUCUUCUAAAGCUAAAUACCGGCCAGAGACCGAUAGCGCACAAGUAGAGUGAUCGAAAGAUGAAAAGCACUUUGGAAAGAGAGUUAAAAAGUACGUGAAAUUGUUGAAAGGGAAGCGCUUGCAGCCAGACUUGUCCGCAGUUGCUCAGCUUGUCUCCUGACAGGCGUACUCUUCUGCGGCCAGGCCAGCAUCAGUUCGGGCGGUCGGAUAAAGACCCGGGGAAUGUAGCUCCUCUCGGGGAGUGUUAUAGCCCUGGGUGCAAUGCGGCCAGCCUGGACUGAGGAUCUCGCUUCGGCUAGGAUGCUGGCGUAAUGGCUGUAAGCGGCCCGUCUUGAAACACGGACCAAGGAGUCUAACAUCUAUGCGAGUGUUUGGGUGUCAAACCCAUGCGCGUAAUGAAAGUGAACGGAGGUGGGAACCCUCACGGGUGCACCAUCGACCGAUCCUGAUGUCUUCGGAUGGAUUUGAGUAAGAGCAUAGCUGUUGGGACCCGAAAGAUGGUGAACUAUGCCUGAAUAGGGUGAAGCCAGAGGAAACUCUGGUGGAGGCUCGCAGCGGUUCUGACGUGCAAAUCGAUCGUCAAAUUUGGGUAUAGGGGCGAAAGACUAAUCGAACCAUC